UGUGUGAUUGAUUAUAAUAUUGUGUUUAUGUGUGAUUGACUGUAAUAGUGUGUGAUUGAUUGUAAUAGUGUGUGAUAUUGUGAUUGAUUGAUUGUAAUAUUGUGUGAUUGAUUCAAAUAAUAUCGUGUGAUAGAUUGUAAUAUGUAAUUCAUACUAUAUUGGUUUAUGUGUAAUGAUUAAAACCAAAUUUGGUUAGAUAGCAAAUAAACCCUUAUAUUAGUGUACUAUACUAUAUUCUAUACUAUAUUAGUUUAUUCGCAAUGAUCAAAACUUCUCUAAAGCAUUUACAAAUUUGAGACAAUAAUUCUAUACUACUUGAGACAAUAGUUCUAUCAUAUUUCUUAUAUAUGUAAUAAUCUGCCAUGUUAUAAGUUCCUAAUAAGGGUUUAGUUUGUGUAAUAUUAGAAAACAACUUAUGGAUUAUAUUUGGGUUUAUAGGUUCUUGGUUAGGGUUUAGAUUUACUAAGUAGGGGUUUAGGUAUAGUAGUCAGCAAUUUUGGGUGGAUUAAUUAUGUAUAGUUCUUACCGUAUUUUGGAUGUUGUACUAUGUCACUGAGAUAGAAUUGUACACUCACAACCUAUGGUUAAGAUUAUAUUUGGGUUUAGGUUUAGUAACUAAGGAGUUUGUUUAGGGUUUAAUAUUUAAAUGGGUGGUAUGGUUUAGGAUUUUGUGAUUAAGAUUUAGAGUUUAGUAUUUGGAAGGUGAGGGUUGAGUUUUGGGUUUAGUGAUAACAGUUUAGGGUUUAAUAUUUAAAGUUGGGUGUGAGUUAGUCAUUCUAUACUAUUUAUAAAGGUUUCAUACUAUGCCGUCUAUGUUGAGAAAAUUGGCAGCAUAUUAUAUAGAUUCUAUUUGGGUUUAUAGUUCAGUUAUUUGGGUUUAGAUUUAGAAACUAGAGAGUUUGUCUAGGGUUUAAUAUUUAAGUGGGUGGGUAUAGUAGUCAAAUUUGGUUAGAUAGCUUAUAAACUCUUAUAUUAGUGUACUAUACUAUAUUGGUUUAUUCGUUAUGAUCAAAACUUCUUUAAAUCAUUUACAAAGUCAAUUUGUGACAAUAUUUAUAUACUAUUUGAGACAAUAGUUCUAUAUUAUUUCUUAAAUAUGUAAUAAUUUGUCAUGUUAUAGGUUCCUUGUUAGGGUUUAGGUUAUCUAAUAUUGAAAAAUAGUUUAUAGAUUGUAUUUGGGUUUAUAGGUUCCUGGUUAGGGUUUAGAUUUACUAAGUAGGAGUUUGGGUAUAGUAGUCAGCGAAUUUGGGUGGGUUUAUUAUGUAUAGUUCUUACCGAAUCUUGCGUGUUGUACUAUAUCACUAAGAUAGAAUUGAACACUCGCAAAAUAUGGUUAAGAUUAUAUUUGGGUUUAGAUUUAGUAACUAGGGAGUUUGUCUAGGGUUUAAUAUUUAAGUGGGUGGGUAGGAUUUAAUAUGUAUGUUCCAUACUAUGGCUGAUAAAUUUUAAAUAUAUAGUAAAACAGUUAUAGAUUAUAUUUGGUUUAUAAUUUAG
rnacentral:lncRNA from 1 species